UUAAUAAAAAUUUGAUAACCGCAACUGCGGGCACAAAAAUUAGUUUUAAUUUUUCAUUACAAAAUCUAAUUUCUAAAUUUUUAUAUUAAUUCCCCCCCUAAAUUUAUUAUUUUUUAAAAGGUAAAAUUCCCCCCAAAAUUUAUAUGUAAAAAAAGUUCAUAAAAAAUUUUUAAACCCUAAGAAAAUUUU
rnacentral:rRNA from 1 species